GAGGUUGCCAAAUAUAACCAAGAAGCGUGAAACGCGUGCGCCACGAUCGUCUUGUAAGAGUAGACCGAGCUGGCUUGAGCGGGCUAGUCGUCGUGUGGAGCGUUUAAAUGUUAAAGCGAGUGGCCGGUUAACUAAUGCUUACUCGCUUGCCGAGCUAGUUCAUUUCGUGUCACCACAGUAGCUGCUGCUGUGGCAAAGGGCCAACGGAAACAAGUAUACGCGUAGGCGAUUCGCCUGUUAGAUUUCCUUCUAACUUGGAUUCAUUGGUUCCUGUUCAGCUGCAAAAUUAAGCUACAUUAGUCGGAAAAAUUUGGCGUGUUUGUUGUCAUCAAAAAGUGCAUUUAAAAGCCGUUAGUGCCGCCACCUGACACAGGUAGAUGUUAUCUAUCGAAUCUACGACAGACAGCGAUGUCAGCUUUCUCAUCGACAAACUGCUACAGUACCAAAACAGUAGUUAUCGCCACGUGUUGAGGCGGCAGCACUGUUUUUAAGUCCACAUUUGACAAAAUCACUAUAUACUUACAGGUUAAGAACUAAGACUAAUUUUGUUUUUAAAACAUAAAUUUUUAAAAUAAAAGAGGUUUUAAUUAUUUCAAUUAUACAAUCAAGUUCAUGUAAAAUGAUAAAAAAUAAAUUAA